rnacentral:tRNA from 1 species
GUGGAUAUAGUUUAGGUGGUAAAGUGCUUGCCUCACAUGUACAAGUACCUGGGUUCAAUCCCCAGCAUCACA